AAUAACAUAGUUUAUAGUUUUAUUAUAGAUGUAAUCUGGUCAAUGGAAAUUUUUUAAAUUCAAGCCUUAGCGUGAGGGUAAUAAUGUAGCAUAAUAAUUUGAUACUUAAUUAGUGUCUGGUAUGAAUGUUUAAACGAUUAUAAAAUUGUCUCAAAAUUGUAUUAAAAAUUAAUAUAAAAGUUAAGAUUCUUUUUAAAAAUUAUAAGACAAGAAGACCCCAUAAACCUUUACUAAAAAAUUUUAUUAUAAAUUUUUACUAGUUUAACUGGGGCAGUUAUCUUUUAAAAUAAAUAAGAUAAAAUAUGUUUACUUAAUAAAGUUAACAAAAUAUUUAUAUUAAAGAUCUUUUUAAUAGAACUUUUAUUAAUAAAUUUAUAGAUAAAAGGUACUUUGGGGAUAACAGCGUAAUUUAAAUAAAAAGUUGAAAUUAAAAUUUAAGUUUGCGACCUCGAUGUUGAAUUUAGAUAUCCUAUAGCUGUAAAAGGUUAUAAUGGUUAGAUUGUUCAUCUAUUAAAAUCUUACAUGAUUUGAGUUCAUU
rnacentral:rRNA from 1 species